rnacentral:lncRNA from 1 species
UCUUGUUAAACAUAAUUUCUAUAUGGUGAACAACGUCCCACAGGGUCAUGCCAACUGCUGCAACCUUGGCUCAUGCUGUAUUCUUAGUCAGCCCCUGAUGCUCAGGUUCCUCACACCCAGCUUGUCCCUCUAGCUCCACAGCCUCAGCUGCUGACCCUCCCCACCUUUGUCACCUGGGCUGCCCUGCUCAUCCUCAGGUCUUAGCUGCAGCAUGGCUUCCUCCAGGAAACCUUCCCCAACCUCCUUGACUGAGUCAGACCGUCCUUGCACUGUGCUCCCUCCUUCAUGUGUGUGCCCAGAGACUGGCUGCCUGCUUCCCUCCCACUUGGCCGGAAGCUUCCUGGGCACCACGUUUUACCCCACGCUUGGAACAGCCUGGUCCCUGGAGUAGAUGGCCCAUAAACACUCACUGAACAACUGAGUCCCCACAUAAUUGUCACCAAGGAGGUUCAAAUGGUCUCCUAGAGCACAGUCCUCAAAUAGGCACCAUGAAGGUCUCCUGUGAAGAAAAAAGACACAGUCUCUCCCUUUUAAAAAUAUUAUUAAUUUUGAUACCAGGGAUGGAACCCAGGGGUACUUAACUACUGAGCCACAUCCCCAGGCCCUUUUAUGUUUUAUUUUGAGACCAGGUCUCACUAAGUUGCUGAGGCUGGCUUUGAAUUUGCAAUCCUCCUGCCCCAGCCUCCUGAGUCACUGGGAUUAUAGCCAUGUGCCACUGCAUUCAGCACAAUCUUUGCUUUUAAGGUUCUUGAGUCUAGUUAGCAGGGAGACAGCCAAAUAGUGAAAAAUGACUUGUUACAGGACAAAUCAAGCAAUACAAAAAGACAAUUAAGGGAAUAGUAAUUGCAAAACAAUUGUAU